AACGUAGGUGGCAAGCGUUAUCCGGAUUUACUGGGCGUAAAGGGCGCGUAGGCGGCAAUUCAAGUCAUCUGUGAAAUCUCCGGGCUUAACCCGGAACGGUCAGGUGAUACUGUUUUGCUAGAGUGCGGAAGGGGCAAUCGGAAUUCUCGGUGUAGCGGUGAAAUGCGUAGAUAUCGAGAGGAACACCAGAGGUGAAGACGGGUUGCUGGGCCGACACUGACGCUGACAGCGCGAAAGCCAGGGGAGCAAACGGG
rnacentral:rRNA from 1 species